AUGGAAGUGCCCUCAGUGAGAAAAGACUCUACCAUCUCAAAUAUUUUAGUACUAGGGCCAAGAAUAUCUAAGAACUUAUCUUGGCAAUUGCAUUUUAGGCUCUUUCUGGCUUUCCAUACAGUUUUUCCUAGAAAUUGGGCAAUCUUGGGGUCUACCUCUGGGAGAACACAGAUGGAUUUAGGAACAGUGGGCCCUGGGCACUUAGCCCUGAGUUUGUUCCUUGUGGCCUUUAGUGAUUUGCACAUAUUUGGCCACAUGUUCUGUGGGGAACCAGCCUGUCAACCGUGGAUGAUAUUAUUUAUCAGGGUCGAAGAAGGGUUUACCCUGGGGGUUAGGCAGGAAAGAGUCAUCUACCUGCGGUUUUGAAGCCUUGGAAUUUGCGAAAGGCAGAACAUCGUCUGGGAAAAACUGGAGCAGUGUGUCGACCAGGUAAGUACUACAACAAGUAGGGGACAUUGAACAGCCAUUAAAGCAGAGGAAAUUGAAUUAGAAAUAUUGGUGGACAUAAUAUCCACACCGACUUAGCCAUAUUUAAGUGGAUUGCCUGGGUCACAGACUAAAGGACUAUGUUGAAUUUCUCUGAAUUAAUUUGAUCAAUAGGGGGUUCCUUAUUACCUCAGAAUACUGGGUUCCCAGAAAUGGAGUGCACACUGGAAGAAGUUCCAGGAAUAGGGCACUGUGGAAUAACUUCAGACAGCAUAUGAGCAGAUGUGUAUACCCAGGGUAGAAUUAGUACAGGAGGGGUAUACCCAGGCAAUGGUAAAUAUGGCAGGCAAGUUGGCAAGGUGCAGUACCAAUUAGGCAGGGAGCACUGCAGUAUACCUGAAGAAAAUUAGUAUACAGGAACAAAUAGGUGAGUUAGUAGCAGCUACCAGUCAUCUCAAUACAGUGGCACAGGGAAAAAUUCUAGUACUGGAAGCUACCCAAAGAUCCAUCAAGAAUGCCUCAAGCGAUCUCCGGGUGCCUGGCUAAUGACAGAGCAUCCAAUCGGCAGCCUCAUGCAGUCAGAACGAGUGUCGCGAAUCUAGGACAAGGCGGCAAAUGUCAAUGACUGCCAAUAAAAGGGCCACCACACCUUGCGACCUGGAAUUGUGCAUGUGUGGCAGUUUGUUUGGCAUGGUUGCACUCCAGAACCAUGGUCCACAGGAAUAGGAGGGAGUGAGGAAGCAAGGGGUUGACGGUGGGGGACAAAACCGACAUUAGUGGGGGACUUAAUGGGAAAGAAAGGUGGAGAGUGUAUGUGCAAGUAUCUACAGAACCUAAAGAAGGGGGUAGGGUAAAGUGUAACCAGAAAAUAGUAAUGACUGCACAAAAGACACCAAUGUAUAUCAGUGAGGAGGAAUAAGGCAACAGGGGCCAAAGGUGAGGCAAUGUAAAAAGUAAAAAUAUAUGGCAAAUGAGCAAAGGGUGCCGCAAAGAAAGAGGAGGUAUUUUGAAUUACAUUCAACUAUAUAUAGUGGGAGAUAUUGU